rnacentral:lncRNA from 1 species
UUUAAAGGUCUCAAGUUUAAAUCUUAAAAUAAAAUUACAUAAAAGAAAGUUAUCUAAAAAAUUUAUAGAAUUACAACAUUUUGUUAAAUAGAACUAAAACAUGGAUUCUUUAUUUCUUUUGACCAAUCAACUAAAACAUGUAUAAGUGAUAUAACUUUAUGCUACAUGGUUGAUACCUUUCUCAACUUUAUUUUUUCUUCUUUUUCUUUUUUCCACUUUUGAAUUGACCAGCAUUUUAUAAGAAGGCUUUUAUUUGAAUGCAAAUGUCUAUCAUUCAAAUUAAGUU